ACAAAUCAGGGGUAUUUUGGUAAUUUUACAAACUAGGGGUAUUUUGAUAAUUUUACAAACUAGGGGUAUUUUGGUAAUUUUAUAAACAAAAGGUAUUUUAGUAAUUUUGCAAACCAGGGGUAUUUUUGUAAUUUUAUAAACCAAGGGUAUUUUGGUAAUUUUACAAACCAGGGGUAUUUUUGUGAUUUUAUAAACCAAGGGUAUUCUAAACCAGGGGUAUUUUGGUGAUUUUAUAAACCAAGGGUAUUCUAGUAAUUUUACAAACCAG
rnacentral:lncRNA from 1 species